GCUGUCUUAGCUCAAUUGGCAGAGCACAUGGUUUUCACACAUGUAGUUGUGGGUUCGACUCCCACAGAUAGCA